rnacentral:rRNA from 1 species
CAAGUGAAGAGUUUGAUCCUGGCUCAGAACGAACGCUGGCGGCGUGGUUAAGACAUGCAAGUCGCACGAGAAAGCCUGGGUAACUGGGCAAGUAAAGUGGCGAAAGGGCGAGGAAUACAUGGGUAACGUACCUUUGGCACAGGGAUAACUCGGGGAAACUCGAGAUAAUACCUGAUGAGACCACAGCUCCAUAUGGAGCAGGGGUCAAAGGGUGGGGAUCCUUCGGGACCUACCGGCCUUAGAGCGGCCCAUGUCCUAUCAGCUAGUUGGUGAGGUAACGGCCCACCAAGGCUACGACGGGUACCGGGACUGAGAGGUUGGCCCGGCGCAUUGGCACUGAGACACUGGCCAGACUCCUACGGGAGGCUGCAGUAACGAAUAUUGGGCAAUGGGCGCAAGCCUGACCCAGCGACGCCGCGUAUGGGAUGAAGUUCUUCGGAAUGUAAACCAUUGUCAGGGGUUACCAAGCAAAGGGAACUAAUAUUUCCCCAAGUUGAGGAGCCCCAGAGGAAGCCACGGCUAACUUCGUGCCAGCAGCCGCGGUAAGACGAAGGUGGCGAGCGU